rnacentral:lncRNA from 1 species
CACAGAGAGCAGCUCCGGCCCGGGACAAUGGUGGCAUGGGGCAGCCACAGGUUUGUGGUCUGAGGGUCGCUCCAGCCCAGCCCAGCCCGGCCGAGGCCCAGCUGUGGGGCUGGCAGAGGCCCAGGACGAGUGCCUGGAGGAGCGCCUGGUCCUGCUGAGGGUCCCACUGAGGGUCUGACUGAAGCCCAGCUGGGGGCCUGGGUGAGGGGAUGGAUGAGGCCCCUGCUGAGGGCUUACCCUGCUGAGGCCUCGUUGAGGACCCCACUGUUGACCUGGCUGUGGCCCAGUGGAGGGAUUGGCCCCACUGAGGCCCAAAGAAGGGAUUGGCCCCACUGAGGCCCAGCUGAGAGAUAUCGGCCCCACUGAGGCCCAGCUGAGAGAUAUUGGCCCCACUGAGGCCCAGCAGAGGGAUUGGCCCCACUGAGGCCCAGCAGAGGGGUUGGCCCCGCUGGGGCCCAGCUGAGGCCCGCUGUGCCAUCAGGGGGCAGCAGCACUGUGGCACUCAAUGUCACAUCUGCACAGACAUGGUGAGAGCUCUGUGUGACUCACUGCCCUGUUGCAGGGACAUGGACACACAUUCACACACCUCUGAUGGUGAAGGGCACGCAGGCACACACACACACACACACGGUGUCUGCAUGCACCGUGCCCAUGCUCUGUGGUUCAUGCCUAUGUGGCACACACACGUGGCUGCUGGUUGCAGCACUGGGCAGUGUGGGGAUGCUCCCACAUGUGUGCUUCCCCUCCCCGAUGCCCCGGCACUUGUGAGGGGAGCCCUGCCCUGCGGCGUCCUCAGGCUCAGGGGAGACCUCACCGUUCUCUACACCUCCAUGAGAGGAGGUCUGAGUGAGGUGGGGACUGGCCUUUGCUCCCGGGUAACUGUAAAAGCAUGAGAGGCGACGGCCUCAUGUUGCUUCAGGUGAGGUUCAGGUUGGAUAUUAGGGAACAUUUCUUCUCUGAAUCAGUGGUGAUGCACCAGCACAGCUGCCCAGAGAAGUGGAGGAGUCACCAUCCCGGGAGAUGUUCAAGAACUGUGGAGAUGUGGCACUGAGGGACGUGGUCAGUGGGCACGGUGGGGUGGGCUGGGGUUG